GAUGAAGAACGUAGCGAAAUGCGAUAAAUAGUGUGAAUUGCAGAAUUCAGUGAAUCAUCGAAUCUUUGAACGCACAUUGCGCCCCUUGGUAUUCCAUGGGGCAUGCCUGUUCGAGCGUCAUUUGUACCCUCAAGCUUUGCUUGGUGUUGGGCGUCUUGUCGUAUUACGACUCGCCUUAAAUACAUUGGCAGCCGGCACUUUGGCCUAGGAGCGCAGCACAUUUUGCGAUCGUAGCCCGUUGUACUGGCGUCCAUCAAGAACAUUUACCACGUUUGACCUCGGAUCAGGUAGGGAUACCCGCUGAACUUAAGCAUAUCAAUAAGCGGAGGA
rnacentral:misc_RNA from 1 species